rnacentral:lncRNA from 1 species
ACAUGAAGGGUUUUAUAUAAAGAGGAAAUAUGAUCUUCCCUUCAUCAACUGUAAUAACUGGAAAGAGAAAAGGAACCUUAAAGAACUAAUUGGCUAAUAUGAUGAAAUUACUCUCCAGAAAUCGUACGUUAGCACUAGGAAGGGAAAAGCUUUUUCAUCACAGGUGCAAAGCAAUAUUAACAAUUAAAUGGAGCUUUUAGGCAUAGGAGGUUGGCUCAGAUUAUCUGUGAGGCAACACAAAUAUUCAGAAGGAAGGCUGAUUCUUGAAAACAGACGUGAAGGUUGUUAGUUGAUUUUUUUUUCCAGCAGAACCACAACAAGUUGUUUGUCUCAUCAGAAUUUUUGAAGUUUAAUUAUGUAAGAUUGUUAAUUAUUAAGCUGUUGCAUGCUUCAUCAGAGUGUCAUAAUGAAAGAAAAUGUGUGUGUGUGUGUGUAUGUGUAGACGUAUCACACACACACACACACAUACACAGAGUGUUGAAGAUUGAGAAGUUAGUAAAGUUGAUGAUUACUACAAUCAUACUUCAGGAUAUUCUUCAGAAAUUUGGAUAUAAAUGUACAUUGAAGUUUUCAAAAAACUCUUGAUCAUUGUUUAUGUGUCUACCAUUUGAAAUACUUCAAUUUCUUUUCCAUCUUAAGAAGACAGGCUCAAACACUGAUGAGAAACUUGUGAAACUGUCCUUAUAGCCUCUAGAUGUAUGAUACUCUAUAGAGAGAUGCCUUUAUCUUCUAGCAGAACUAUGCCAUUUCCAUCCCAUGGAGAUAAAAAACACUAGUAACAUUAAGAGCUAACCUUGGACUCUUAGUUUUAAAUAUACAAUUUUAGGAUGUCAAAAAAAUGACUUUAUAUGUAUGUGAAUCAUCCUUUCCCAGAAAAUCAAAAUCAGUCAGCUAUAAUAUUUCAAAAUUUCAUUAAAAAAUUAAAAGUAUGGCUUUGCUUCCUUUCAAUGAAAAGCAAAAACCCUGAGAUGACUUAUUUGAGAGAAGAGCUGUGUUAUUUGUUCCAUUUACUGCUUAGAUAGGGGAAGAAUUGGAUGGGAAAUAGUGCACCCAUUCUUGUUACUUUUCUCCUGUGGGUGACAUUUGCUAGUCUUUAGAAGAUGAAGGCAAAUAUCGUUUUAUUCAGGAUGGAGGAGAGACAAAGUGUCUGUCCCUUCAAAAGAUGUGGAAGGAAGUUUUGUGAGAAUACCAGUUGCAGCAUCCUCUAAGACACUACAGCUGUGGAUUCUCUGUAUCUUUCGGUGACAAGGUGCACGAUCCACCCGUCUAAACAGAUACUUAAAACAGAGACAUGACACACCUUCUGCUUAUGCCUAGGGUUGCCUUUGGGCCUCCCGCAAAAAUAUGUUCACUCAUUCACAUCUGCUUUGAGUGAUAUUUCAUUUUGGUAGUUGUUUGCAGAAGGUACUUUUGAACGUUAUACAAUAAGAAAGGGAUGGCUGAGACAUCAUCCAAUGGGAUUCUUUCUCCCCAUCUCCAUUCCCCACAGGGUGAUAUGGGACACAAACAUUAGUGACAAGAGGAAUUGUGUCUGACCUUCUGAUACACAUCUACUUUAGGCUCAUAGUGUUUAAAGCAAAGAUUAUUAUACGUGCUAAAACUUGAGCACACCCAAGUAUUGCAAACUGGAGAAAACAGUAGGUGCUUUAAUUUGUAAGUCAGGACAUUGGAAAACAAUAUUUGAAGAGAAGGAUCAAGUGUUCAAUUACAGAGUCGACUAUUUCCAUUUUUGCUUUGCCUAACUAGCUUUUAGUGCUCAAUUUCUUGUUCAUAUCUAAUUUUAGUGCUAUACCUUGCAGUAAAUACAUUUUAGAGUAGGUGUCCUCAAACUGCCCACUCUCAGGAGAUGGUAAACCACUAUGGUGUGUCUCCAAUGUGCUUUUUCAUAAUAAUUUAACUUUGACAUAAGAUGCUUAUCACCGUCAAGGUCUUUAGCCCAAUAAUGUAGCUGACUUAUUUUGAAUAAUGGUCUUCCUAAUGGUAAAUACAAUUUCCCAGGCUUCAUCCUGAAAUAUUUAAAUAAGCAAUCGGGUUAAAGUGUUGCAUCAAUGUCCAGGAGCACAGAGCAAUUUUCUUGGCCUGCUACUGAAUUCAUUUCUUGUCAGUAAUCAAUGCAUUUCUGAUUCUCAUGGGCAUGUUCAUUUUCUCUGAACAUGAAGACACUGGGGGUGGUUUCUGCCAUUUUUUUUAAACACUAGAGUUCAGUGUCUGGUUGAGGGUAUUAGAUAUUUUUAAAGGUCUGGUAUUCUAAACUUGAGUACACAUUUUAAGGAGAGGCUUGUUAGAAGGCCUCUGUCCCGUGAUGAUAGCUGGGGAUCUGCCCAGUGCAUGUCUCUUUUUCUUGUUCACCCUGAGAUUCAAAGAGAAUCAGUAAGCUUGAUGGUCAUAUGAUGACUAGAGGCUCUAAAUCAGACAAAAUCAGAUCAGCCUUCCAGACCUAUUAUUAUCUUGGACCAUGACUCAGCACUGAGAAGCACUUUCUUCUGAAAAUAAAGCUUACACUACUGACGUUGUUAGCAUCUUUCUGACCAUUUUCUCCACAUCAGGAACUGUAACUAAAUACAUCACGGGGUAACUCUAAGUAGCUACUUGGAAAUGUCAAAGAAAAGCAUCAACAGAUAACUACUAGUUUUAGUUAUUAGUUGUUUAGUUGUUUUUUUUUUCCAGUGAAUGUUGCUUUCAGAAAAAGACACAUGAGGUCAAAAGGUCAAUAUGUAAAACAAUUUCACCAAAAGCCUUUGCAUAUAGGAUGAAUGCUAUGAUGCAGCGGUAACAGCAUAUACAACUGGCAUGCAUACUUCAUCCACGUGGCCACCCCACACACUGAUGCUAUCUGAGAGUGUGCUUUAAGUGGCUGUGGAGGGCUUGCAUGCUAUGAGAGCUGCUUCAUGCCUUUCUUUGUGACGAUGCUGAUGGACCUCUUAACCUGACCGGCUUCACUCCUCAGUAAAGACUCUAGAUAAAUGUCCACUGCCUGGAACGAAUGCUAUCCACAAGGCAGUUUUUAUACCUAAGAUGAGGAGUGGAUGCCAUUUGUAAAAGGCAAAAGACAUUGCCGCGACUGUCUUUAUAGCUUUAUAGCUUUAAAUAAUUCUUUAUCCGUGAUUCUUACGGCUUG